rnacentral:rRNA from 1 species
CCUACGGGCGGCUGUAGUAAGGAAUAUUGGUCAAUGGACGCAAGUCUGAACCAGCCAUGCCGCGUGGAGGAUGAAGGUCCUCUGGAUUGUAAACUUCUUUUAUUUGGGAAGAAACUCCCGAUUUCCAUCGGGAUUGACGGUACCAGAUGAAUAAGCACCGGCUAACUCCGUGCCAGCAGCCGCGGUAAUACGGAGGGUGCAAGCGUUAUCCGGAUUAAAUGGGUCGUAAGGGUGCGUAUGAGGCAGUGUAGAAAUCUCCGGGCUUAACCCGGAAACUGCCAUUGAUACUAUUUGUCUUGAAUACUCUGGAGGUGAGCGGAAUAUGUCAUGUAGCGGUGAAAUGCUUAGAUAUGACAUAGAACACCCAUUGCGAAGGCAGCUCACUACGGAAAUAUUGACGCUGAGGCACGAAAGCGUGGGGAUCAAACAGGAUUAGAUACCCCUGUAGUC